AUCUCAGUGCAGAUUUGACCUCCCUGGCUCAAGCAAUCCUCCUGCCUCAGCAUCUUAAGUAGCUACGAAAGUUAGUCUGACUCUCUUCUCAAAAGAAGGAAUGUAUGCUGUGCACCUCAAUCCUGUUUGUGCCAUGGUAUUAUCUCAGCAAGAAGAAAGGCAGGUUUACAGAGAAACAUGGCAUGGAGAAAGUAGAGAGUUAAGUGUAACCAGUGUUGGGAUCUUGGCCAAAUGAGUCUAACAAGCUUUCAAGAUGGCAAUGAUGUUGAGUGUCUUUGAUUGGAAGAAGAAGAGAUUUUGGAGUAGCAAUGGAAUAAUGACUGGAAACUGCAAGAGAUUAAACAGCCUUUGGAAAAGUAUAACAGUAAGAUAAAUCUGACACAGCUGACUCCAUCUUGCCUCUAGCCUCACAGGCUGGCUGUCUUUGCUCAUUUCUGGGCAUGGACCAAGCUCACUUUGGGAAAAGUUUAGUUUAUGGUUUAAAUGAUAAUAGCUCUUCCCCAAACCUAAACUGCUCUUGUAAACCUAAUGAAAGACCAUCAAGGAAGGAGGAUGAGAGGGGCAUGAGCUCUAAAUAAUUACCAGCCAUUUUUCCAGAGGUAAUAACAUUUGCAACUUCCCCAAUCACUCUUGCAGAUAACAUUACUAUUAUAGAACCUAAGAUUGGCCUUUUGAGAUGUCUUUUCAGGUUUUUGCAUUUCUGACAACCAGAUGACCCCACCUGGACCCACCAACCAGUCCUGUCAUCCCCAUCCAGGAACUGACUUAGCACAAGAAGACAGCUUCAAUUCCCUAUAAUUUCAUCUCUGAUCCAACAAUUCAGCAUGCCUCCUACCUUAGCCCCCUGCCCUCCAAACUAUGUUUGAAGAACCCCUAACCUCCGAACCUUCAGAAAGACUGAUCUGAGUAAUAAUUCUGUCUCCUAUGUGGCAUGGCAGGCCUCGCAUCAAUUAAACUCUUUCUUUACUGCAA